UUGCAAUAUCCUUCAUCUCAACUCCUUAUUUUUAAAUAGACUAAUAAAAAUCUGUUAGGGUUGUGUCUGUUUCUUUGUGUCAGCAGAUCACUAGGGUUGUCUGUUUCUUUGUGUCAAUGCAUCAUCACACAAACACAUUUCCAUUAUGUUAUCAUAGCUUGUCAUUCUUACUAUUUAUAUUUUUUAAAAAAGUAGAUAUUAGAACCUUGGCCAAAUUUAUUAUAGGGCCUUAAACACACAGCGUGAGCUGUCUUAACUUAGAACUGGUUUCAACAUCAAACAAUCCAAAGCUCUGUCAAAAUCACUGGAACAAAGAAAUCAGUCUGUGCACUCGUGUGUCUGUGACCAUCGGCUCAUCUGUCCAACGUGUCUGCGUGUCCGUUGUCCAACAUUUAUUUUCCCGGUGGAUCUUCAAACAGAAUUUCUUUGUGGAUCUUCAACAGGUCCUGGUUGAUCUACAAUCUUCAAAAGUAAGUGCUGGUUUUUACUUUAUGUGCUGGGGUUAUGCUUGGCUGCUAUGCCAUAACUAACUAACUAACUAAUUUCAAUUUCAGCCUCAUCUGGACUUCAUCCUGGAAAAGAAGAGGAUUGCGUCUUUGUUUGUUAUUUUUUUUGUUAUUUUUAGGCCGCCGCGCCAUCUCCAAUCUCUAUCCCUCACCCUUUUAACUCGGCCACCAUGCCGAUCUCUAACGAUCUAUCCAUUUCCUCGUUCAUGCAUUUGACAUGAUUGCCCAUCAGUCUAUGAAAAAAGAGGGUUGCGUCUUUGUUUGUUAUUUUUUUUGUUAUUUUUGGGCCGCCGCGCCAUCUCCAAUCCCUAUCCCUCACCCUUUUAACUCGGCCACCAUGCCGAUCUCUAACGAUCUAUCCAUUUCCUCGUUCAUUCAACAAAUGUGGCCUUCCACUUGGUAAAAUUUAGCUGCCAUUCGUCCGGCCUUAAAAUCAUCUAAACAUCUAUACUACUUUUAGACCUAUAAAGUGCCAAGUUUAAAAUAGAUGACUGCAGGAAUGGGUCUCAUACCCAUUCCUGCAGUCAUCUACACAAGCCUUUGGGGAAAAAAAAAAUUUUUUUCCUUCAGGCCUGUAUAUGUAGACUGACUGGAUUCUUAUUUCUUGGUGUGAGAAAGGGAGUGGGAGGUGUGUACAAGUCAAGUCUAAUCAGCCUGUUAGCAGUUGUGUAUUGUAGGUGCCUUUUCAUGGCUGCUGUGUUGCAACACAGCUUUAAGUCUGUCCAUCUUUUGUUUGUCCAUCUUUUGUCUGCGUUUUUGAUGGCCGCCGUGCUAUCACUUGUGGCAGCUCCUGUCUGUCCCUGUGUUUGUCUCUGUCAGUUUAUGUCUGCGCGUCAAUCGACCAUGUGCUGUGGUUUUCCUUAGCCGCCGUGUCAAGCAAAACCACAGUGCCAUGGCUACCUAUUGGCUUUUUGCCAUUUAUCCAUCCAAGUGGACAUCCAUCCAUGAUAACUGACCCUCCGUCCGUCUACCCAUCUUAGUCUGUAUAAUCGGUGUCUCAUUUUGCUGGUGAAUCUACAAACAAGUAAGUCCCAUGUUUGCUUAAUUUUGGCUGCCAUGCCAACCCUUUCUUUCCCUGUCUCUCACACUAACACGCACACAUGCACACACACUGAUAGUUACACAGUCCCUAUCCACUGUCUUUUUCCAAUUAGCCUGUUGUUGUGUCUUGGCCGCCGCGCCUCACACAAACACGCACACAUGCAUGCACACUGAUACUGAUACUGUGUGUCUGUCUUUGUCUGUCUCUUUGUACCUUGUCCCUGUCUGUAUCUGGUCUGUCUCUUUGUACCUUGUUCCUGUCUGUAUCUGGUCUGUCUCUUUGUACUUUGUACCUUGUCCCUGUCUGUAUCUGGUCUGUCUCUUUGACUUUGUUUGUCUCCGUCUGUUUGUUUGACCAGACUGACAUUCAAAUGACCUUUAUUAUACUGUCUGUCUCUGUCUCUAUCUUGUCUAUGUCUCUGUGUCUCUGACUAACGUUCAGAUUAGUUUCACUGGACUGUGUCUCUGUAUGUGUCUGACUGACAAUCAGAUUAGUUUUAUUGGACUGACCGAUCAGAAACCUAUAUUGCUAAAGCAAUACAGAAACCAAACAUUUACAGAUAAUUGGCAGUAAAUAGACUAUAUUAUGCAAAUAUAAACAACCCUAUCAAAUAUAAAAGGCUUUCAAUAAUUACCACCAACUAAAUCAUACAGGACAGAAAUAUUGUCAAUUAAUAUGGCAUGUGCCAUGACUUUAUUUUCAUCUCUGUCCUGUCAGAUUGGAUCACUUUUAGUGGAACAAGUUUUUGUUUACAGGUAGCUCUACAAGAAGUAAGUAUCUCCCUAUUUUUUCUAAGUGCUACAUGAAGGCAACUGGACUUGCUUGAGGUUCUUGAAAAUCUUUCAUCUGAACAGCUUCUUCAGUUCUGUCCACCUGCCUUUGUAUAGCACUUAGAUGACCUGGAUGACUGAGAAUCUUCAAACAAAAGUAAGUGUAAUUUUUGUUUUUAAAUCCUGUUCUGCUUUUUAGUUUUUUCACCUUGGUCACCCUGUCUAUUUUUCUACCUCUAUGUCUGGCUCUAGCUUUGUUUGUCUCUAUCCAUGUUGGUCUCUUAUCUCUUCCGGGUCUUUGUCUAUCUCUCUCUUUGUCUUUAGCUUUGUCUCUAUCAUUAUCUGUCUCCAUGAUGAUGCUUUAGCACUAUGUAUCUAAACAUCAGGGUCACAUACACAGCCUAUAAAAGCACAAAGUCAGGCAUUUUGCAUAGUCGGGCUUUUAUGAUUGCUGGAGGAAAUUCUGUCUGAGAUUUGUUUAUCAUUCAUAUUUGAUAAAUGCUUUUAAUCUAUUGAAGGUACUUGUUCCCAUUGCUCAUGCUUGUGUUUGCUGUGAAGUUACAUAUCAUAGUUGGCGUUGUUGUUCCUUUUCCCCCCAUUACCUUUUAUGUGAUCUGGGAUUGCAUUUUAUUUAAUUUCCUUACUACUCCCUAUAGUUGGAUUAAGGUGCUUUGAUUUACUACAUUGCCUUAUUACUUUUUAUCAUAAUAGUUGUGCUGCUGUCAAGCUCAUCACCACCCAAAUUUUGAUACCAAUUUAUGUUUAUUGUACUUCACAUUUAAUUGGAUUUUGAAGUUAUAGGCUGGCUUGUCUCACUGCCAAGUUUAAUUCCAACUGGAGACUCAAGUAGAACCUUUUGAGUUCAAGUAGGUCUGAAGCGAUAUAGUUUCGUAUCUGUAUUUAUUUGCGCUGUAUGUUGGGAGGCCUCCCAGCAGGGGAAAUUUAUCCCACCCCUGCAAAGCGUUACAUUACUAGGGUACGGUAGCAUCAGUCGCUGCGCCAUCAACUGACAUGGGAUAUUUUGGGCAGUUUCAUACGUACAUGGAAUUGUCCUCAGAACUUGGUAGACGGUUACCAGGCAGUUGCGCGUUUGGGUUUUCUGGGAGGAUUCAAGCCUGGCAGAAAGAGACAACUCAAGUACUCCUGAUAGGAUUAUAAAGAAGCUUCUGGAUACCUGAUGUGGGUAUAUUUGCUUAAUGUUCAAUCUAUUGGUGAUGAGGUCGACAGCAACAAUUGCUAUGAAAACCAAAUUGAUGUCAAGUGUACCAAGUUGUCACCAUACUUUACUCUGAGUUACUUGGUAUUGACAUAGUUUGAAUAAAACAUUAUACUGUGGGCUGACUUCCAGAGACGAUUUUAAGGUUAACAGGUGUUGUCUUGAAGUAGAAAUGGAGCAUAGAAUCUGAGCUUUUAGGUUUUGCUUGCAGCCAGGUGCUGCAUUGAAAGUACUCAUUAGAUUAAGUUUUGUCAUCGUUAAUGGGGGUGAAAAUUGGCCCUAUAGCUUAACAUUUUUCAUGAGAUUUACAGUGACCACUUCUAUUAAGUAAGAUUUCCAUUGUGGAAUAUUUACUUAUAGGACUUCCUUUUGCCUCUUUUAUUGUAACUUUGGCACUUGAUGAAAACUUUGUACUCUGCUGUAUAGUGUUUGAUCCUUUUGUAUUUUGCCAUUUUGUUUGAAUAAUUUGCAUUUUAACUGGUCUGUUACUUUUACAUGUUUGGUAAGAUGUGGCUGUAGACCAAUGACAAAGCAGACAACUUGAAAUGUUUGACCCUCAUUUGUCCUCAUAAGUCACUGUCUGCAGCACAUUUGAUUCCUGAUAUGGUUAAACAGUGUUUUCAGACCUAGUUCACAGAGACCCCAACCUGGCAAUGCCAGAGUGAGAUCUUAAAUCCUCUCUGUGUACUCAUGUCCUAACAGAAUCAGCAAACGUUUAUGUGCGUGUGUAUAUUUUCCAAAUUUGGAAUCACAACCAGGCAUGAGCUAAGACACCUUAACACUACAGAGAACAAGGUCAACAGAGUCGACUCAUAUCACAUAAGAAGGCAAGGCUUUUCUCCUUCCCCUACUUCUCUGUAUGUGAGGAAGUCUGUGCUGUUAGUAGAAUUAUUACUAAUUUAUACCCUGUUACUGAUUCUGUCUUAAAGUUGUACUUUAAUGGACAAGCUACUUAAAGAUAUUUAAGAAAUUUGAAAAGCUAACCUUACGAGUAAGUGUGUACACCAUGAACCCCUACUGAGUUGUGUGCUGUGGUUGUGCAGUUUCUAAAACCAGACAAGGAUCCCUCUGGUUUUGUGAAUCAGUUGACCAUGGUAUGCUAUUAUGAUCUUACUCCAAGACACAUACAACAAUUGGGUAUAUUGUUAAAGAUAACUGCAUAAGGGCAAUAUAAACUCUGUUAAUGUAUAUGCAAGAACGAAAGCAUUUUUAACAUUAAAACUUGUGGAUAGUGAGUCUGAAGCAUUGGGGUCAGGCAUUUCAAGAGUACAAGGUUUUUAUCAUCCAUUUGACAAACCUAGAUGGGCUGAGUGUUUUUGAUGUCUUACUAACUACUCUGAAGUCAGUGCACUUAAAUUCAGGAUCUAGGUAAUAUCAAGGAUCACAUGUAAAACCAGCCAACUUGUAAUCUCAAGUAUUUGGCUGCUGGAGUAUUUGAAGCGGCAGUUGCUCUGGUGAUAACAAGAAAACUUGCUGCUUGCCUUGUUUCUAACCAGUGACAGACUGAUUGACAAGGGUCCAUGUAUGGACACAGUGGCUACUACUCAUUGUGCCAGGUCUCAGUUUGGCCCAGGAGCAAUCAGGGAGUGGAUAGUAGAGUUUUCUCUAGUACUAUCAUGGAAGCCCCGACACCAGAAUCUCUUCUGUAGCAGAAGGGUCAGCUGUGGUACUUGAACCCUUGUUGAGUUCUGACAAUUCAAUUCAGUCCUUAAGGGUCUUGUCAGUGUAAGCAGAAUUCGGUUAAUUCCACACACACAAAAAUCAGAGCCAUUGUUAGAUUUGAGAAAUUACAGCAAAAACAAUAAAUCUCAUUGUACUUUUUGAAUGAAUAGUUGCAGGAUGUUAAAGCCCCAUAUGGUGAUGGAGGUUGCAGUAGGUUCAGCAGUUUCCCAUGCCACCAGAAAAAUCAACGUGGGAUGCCAUGACCCAAAGUCCUGGAUAGCUGUGAAGAAGAGGAAGGCCAAGCUUUAUCAAAACCCUCCAUGAUGACGAUGUCUCUGUGCCAGAUGAUUGAUGUCUUCAGAUGUCUAACCUUCAGGAAGCCUGGAAUGCUGUGGCCUGACCUGAGCUCACCAAGUCUGCACACUGCCUUGACCUCCAGACCCCGCAAGUCUGCAAACCCCUCUGCAAAGUGGCUCAACAAUUUUGCACAACUUGGCCACCAAGUAAACACCAUAAACACCAUCUCACCAUUAAUGAGAUGAGCAAAACCUCAGACAAGAUGUAUGUUCUGGGAGCUCAAGUUCUGCAAGCUUUUGUAUGGACUGCGCACCACCUAAACAGCCAUGGACUCAAAGUGCUUGGGAGGCUCUUUUUUUGCUAUCAGACUCUACAGUCCCACAGCUAAUACCCUCCUGACUCCUGACAACCAUACACAAGUCAGUAAAACUGUCACCAUCAUGCAACACCCAAACAUUGUAUAUGUGUGUGCACACAAAUCUGUUGUAUUUAUUAUUCCUGUUUUUUUCCUUUUCUGCUGUAUAGGUAUUUGUUGUACAUUUUUGUUUGAUGUUAACUACGUUCCCCUGUGCUGUCUAAUCAAAUUACCCCUAUAGUGAUCAGUACAACAGAACACAAUGCAGAAAUACUCAACAACACAGCACUAACAAAUGCCAAAGAAAGAUCUUAAGUUCCCUGUCAACAUGUCCAGACAGAAUCAGUAACAUUUGGAGCAAACCUUUGCACAUUUUUUCCAAAUUUAGCAGUCACAGCCAGGAAUGAGCUUGGACAUCUUAACACUACAGAGAACAAGGUCAACAGAGUCGACUCAUCAUAUAAGAAGGCAAGGCUUUUCUCCUUCCCCUUCUUCUCUGUGUGUGAGGAAGUCUGUGCUGUUAGUAGAAUUAUUGCUAAUUUAUACUCUGUUGCUGAUUCUGUCUUAAAGCUGUACUUGUAAUGAAGAAGCCACUCAGAGGUAUUUAAGAAAUUGGAAUAAAUCUAACUCUACAAGUCAGCAUAUAGACCAUGAACUCCUACUAAGAUGUGUGCCAUGGUUGUGCAGUUUCCAAAACCAGACAAGGAUCCCUCUGGUUUUGUGAAUCAGCUGACCAGGGUAUGCUAUUAUGAUUUUAGACACAACAACUGGAUGUUGACAUGUUUUAUGGACAGAUUUAGUGACAUAGGUAUUUAUGGACAUUUCUUUCUUUGACAUUAACUACAUUCCGAUGUGUUGUCCAAUUUGAUUUCCCCUACAGGGAUCAAUACAGAUACAGAACAGCACUUAACAUGGCACUACAACACUCACACAAGAUGUACAACACAAAUUAGAUAGCCAUCUGGGGAAAGUGCAUGGAUACUGUAGCUGUAUUUGUUGUGAUGCUGAUGUUCUGAAGUGGGGUUUUAGCCCACAGAUAAUGUAUUAUGUCUGUAUUUAAAAUCUGUGUUGGUAUCUGUAUUAUGUUUUCCCUAAGUAAAAUCAUUGCUUAUUUCCUAA